UAACAGGGCUCAACGUCUCAUCUACGGCCAGGCACGUCUGACUUGAUUUUUUCGCAACUCAUUCAUUGACAGCCGUUGGAUCGUUCUGGAAAAUUAAUAAAUCACCCCUCGUUCUCAGUCCCCAUAUACAUUUUCAUUUUCUUGUACAGAUUUUUUCAUUUUCUUGUACAGAUUCUCUCUCACCGUGAAAUUCCAUUACCCCCUUUUCGUUAGAUCUCUUCUCCUUGAUUUCUCAGCUUUGAAUUCGUUCGACGAUCUGCGUUUUGAUUAUGGAUUCGAGUGUUUUCGUUGAGCGAUUCGCUUCCGAUCUUCGAUUCAGAGAUAUGUGGUUCAAGACUCAUCCCUUCUUCGGCCAUGGGUGAAUUGACUGGAAAUCGAAAGAUCCAUCGAGGCUCUUAAUGUUUGUUCUGAACCAUUAGUGCUCGGGCUUUGUUCACCUGGUUCGAUGCGAAACCUUGCUGUCUUUCUGAAAUUCUUGAGAUCUAAAACGCUUGGUUAGAUCGGUGCAAUCAAUUCAGAUAUCGUGAUUCUUUAUGGAUUCAGAUCGUAUUUUGAUAUGAAGCUGUGAAGGAUUGCUAAAGUGUUUCUUUAUGCUUUUUUGAUGUGCUUUCUUUUGUCAUCUUCUUGGUAUAAUAAAGAAGAUAGUUUGUUUGUGUGUGUGUGUGUGUGUGUGUUUCGGUGUGUACCAGAGGGGUAUAGCCUAGGGUAACAAAAAAAUGUGAGAUGUGUAAUGUUCUACUGGUUGUCAAUCGACCUUUGCCAUGUCAGGUGCGCUUGCUUGGCAGGUCAAAAAAGCCCUAAUAAAAAGUUUGUUUUUUGUGUUUGAGGGGGAGAUGGUACGGGGUUUUGCCCGGUUCUCCCCUUCUUGUGUGUUGCGUCUUUUUGGUUUUUGUUGGUUUUUUCUUGAUUUUGUCCACCCCAAUUCUCUCUCCAAACCAUUUAGUUGUUCAUCGUGUCUUUAUUUGUCUCUCGAAUGGAUGAUUUUACAUCGAUUCGAAACAAGUAGGGACAUCAACACGCCAACUAUUUGUAUUCAUCAAGCAAGCAAGCAAACACAAGGAUGGGAUUAGCACGUCAUGACUAUUCAGUCCAAGAGGUACGAACAAACAAUUUCCUUUAAUUUAUUUUGGCACUAAUUAUUUGCAUUUUGAGCAUUUUAAUGAGGGAAAAUUAUGCAUCAAUAAAUUAUUACAGAUUUAUGAAAGUUUAUAUUUUCAAUUAUUAAUAUUUAUGAAGUUAAGUUUUUAAUUCGAGCAUGUCUGAAUCUACCAUCUCAUUAGCCUCAUUUCAAAAUUUUCAAAAUUUAAUCAAUAAGUAAAUUUAGGCCAAGUUUGGGAAGACUAAAUAAGUGUACUUUUUGACUUUUUAUGAAAUAUGUGUUGGAUUUAGAUUGGGUUUGAAGUGAUAUGUUAGAGAGCUGAUGUGACUUAAAUAAGAUGAUAUGACUUAAAUAGUAUAGUGAUUUUUUGACUUUUUGAAUUUUUUUGAGGGUGCGGCCUUAAUCUUUAUUCUCAAAAUUUAAUCAACAAGUAAAUUUCUGGCUACAAAAUUCUUGAUGGUUUACAUUUUUCAAUAAUAAAAUCCAAGUAACAUCUAACAUACGCCCAAAAAGAAAAUUUUAUAGACACCAUAUGCCAAAUUAUGAUUUUGUGGUCUUUUGGUUACUUCCUAUGUUAUGACUUGGUCAUGACUGGUGUUUAUGACCAGUUGUGAUUAGGAAAAUGAUAUAGAAGCUUAUUUUUUAGGCUUAUUUUUUAGAUGCAAUGAUGUAUGGAAAGAUGAUUGGUGAUGAUUAGACACCACUAUAGUGAUUAUUAUUUUGUUGGUUAUGACUUAUAGUGAUCAUUAUUUUGGUUGUAAUCAGAAAUGACUUUGGAUAUAUUUUUAUGUGGUGUUUGGGUGUGAUAUUAUUUUUUAAGUUAUGUUUGAAAAUGAUUUAGUUAUGGCAUUUAUGGUAAUCAAUAUAAAAAAAUGUGCAUAUGGUAAGGCUCUGUAUUCUAGAAUGACCCCAUCGUAAGUAACACUAAUAUUGUAGAUGGUUCAAAUGUCAAAGAUUGUUGGUUCAGAUAUUGUGUAAUUGUGCACAUAAUGUAAUUUUACAGAGGUUUAGUUGUACUGUGAUGAUGUGCGUGGGUUGGUUUAUAUUUGCGUUUUUGGUUAGGGUUUGGGUUGGAAUGUAUGGUGGUUUGGAGGGUUGGUCCCUUAUGCGUAAUUGUAAUUUAGUCAAAAUGUCAAUUGUAAACCAGUAUGAAGCUCAAGGGUUGGUGGUGGUUGGAUGUUGUGACUUUAAAUCUCAGAUGUGGGUUCAUGGAUUUUGUUUCAGCGUUGCAGCAGAGUAAAGAUUCUUGAUUCCUUUGUGCUAGCUGGAGAGAGGAUGUAUGUUAGCAGAUCAUUUGAAGGAAUAAAUUCAUGCAUUGCAAAAAAGAAUUUUUUUGUCAUCAUGUUGGUGCGAGAGGAGAGUACUUUAUUUUGUGGUGAACUCGUAAUUUUUUGGCUAUUUCUUUAAUGCUGCGUAGUUUUUCUAGCUAAUGUGACAGAUUUUGAAUUGCAUUGGUUCUGAUUUUGGGGUUGAGCAUGUCUAAUUCAAAUCUUGAUUCUUCAUGUGUAGAUUUUGUAGUGUUUAACUUUAUUAAUAUUUUGGCAGAUGUUGGAGUCCUUAAUACUAGUAUUUCUUGAGGGUGGCUUGAGUUGGAAGUGUUAUUGGGUCAUCUAACGUGUGAGACAGAUUUCUAGAGUUUGCUUCGGACACGCCAUGUUUGCUAAAGUGUUGCAAUGCCACAAUAAGAUAAUGGAGAACAACAAAAUCAUGAACUUUGGGAGAUUUGCCCUUUCCAUUUAUGAAGGCAGAAACAAAUUCAGACUAUUAACAGGAAUUGAGAUAGACUCAGUUUAACAGUGUCUUCUAGUUAACCUUUGGAACAACCAUAACUACCCAGUUAAACGUCUGUCAACUUUAAACUCUCUUAGUGUAUACUUUUUAAAAAGCCAGAAUAAACCUUUGUCUAAAAGCUUUUCUUUUUAUGUAGUAGCUAAAGGAACCAAGCCUGGUAUUUACUAUGAUUGAUUAUAAGUUGAACCCUUAGUUAAAAACUUUUCCAUACCUCAGAUUAAAUGAUUUUAUGAUUUCGAGUCGGCUAGUACAUAUGCCUGUAGACAAAUAAGAACCAAUUACUUUAUCAGUCAGAUAACUAAAGAUUAUCUAGACACAUUGGGCAAGAUGCAGUCAACCAUUCUUGCUAUUAGUGGAGCUCUAGUUAGCCAGAUAAUUGAAAGCAGUAGUACUAACCUUCAGAUAGAUUCUCAAAAUCCUCUCCAAAUGUGCAGACAUUGUGAAGGCCUUAACAGAAAUUUCAAGAAAAUCAUGGAUAAAGGCAAAAAGGUCAGUGAAGAGCUAGACCAGCUCCGAGACGAAGAAAAACAAUUGAGAGCUACCAUUCGAACCCUAACCAAUCAGCUUAAAAAACUAACUCCAGAAAAAGCACCUACUUCAUUUCUUGACCUAGAAACCAGACAACUCACCAGUGAGGAAUUUGAACAAUUGAGUGGUAGAAUGUAUUUCUUCAGCUAUUCUAUCAUUCGAUCUUUUUGUGAGAAAAAUCAAGAAAUAAAGGACCUUAAACCCUAUAUAUACACCUUAGCCGAAGAUAGCAGAAAUAGUGAGCUAGUCACUAUACAGUAGUUUCUUCAAGAUCUCUCCAUAGCAGGAGUUCACUGCCCUGGUAUAGCUUAUCAAUAGACUUAUCUCUAUAAGGAUGAAGAGCAGCCCUGCUUAGAAGAGGAAAGAUGUAUGGACAGGCCAGAAUAUUUUGAUAGAUGUCAGUGUAAUUUAGAUUUCAGCAUCUGCCUUUGCCUUUGCCUUUGCCAGAUAAAUCUAGCAAUGUUCGAGCCAUUGGAGAUAGAGAUUAGGGGCAAACCGUGUUAUCUAACAAUUUCAUAAUUGUUAGAUUACGGCUUUGUCUUUAGAAUAAUUUUCUUAGAUCUAGAUCAGACAGAUAGUUUUGGAAAUAAACUUGCUCAUUCAGUACUUUGUGUAAUAGAAGAGCAUCAUCCAUAUGUAGAAACAUUAAUUGAUAGCAAGCUAUCAGAAUGUAAAGGAAUAAGGUGCAUCCCCGCCAAGCAUAAAAUGUACCUAAGAGGAACUUCAACAUUUCCAUGAUACUCAGGACUUCUCAAUCGAAGACCUUGGCCAUGCAGAAAAUUUUCACUUAGAGAUCAGCUCAAUAAAUGGAGGAAAUUUGCUAAUAAUCCUCUAUUAGCGUAUAAUAGAAAUUGUGGACAUCUAGUCUGCGAAGAUAGAAAUCAGAAGAUAUACUGUAACCUAGCUAUCCCAGGUUAUCCCUUCAGCAAAGAAACAUUCGUCGAUGAAGUCAAUAUCCUAACUAUCAGCAUAGCGUCUCUCAUGAGUCAUCAUUAAUGGGAGAAAAUGACCAAGAUAACCAAUAGGGAAAUGGACCAGAUAUGGGGGAUGAUUUUUAUGACCAGCUUUCAGCAGCAGAUCUUGACGAUCUCCCAGAUAGAAGUAUGGGUAAAAAAAAAAAAAAAGGUGCACG